GAUCAUUGGCAUUUGGAAUAGCAUCCAACAACAAUUAGAGUUCUAUAAGACCACAUCUUUACUUAUUUUUGAAGAUGUAUUUGUACUGCCCAAAAGCAUAAGCUGAAGCACAAAAUAAACAUUUAAAUACAUUUGUUCUCACAGGAAUAAUCACACACCUAGAGAGCAUGUUCUUUUCACAUCUUCCCAACUACUCAAUUAGCAAAGCAGCACAUCUACACAUUUUAAUAGCAGGAGCAAAGAAAGAGAGAGAUUGAUAUGAGAGAGUGUCGUUGAAGCAUGCUAAGGACUCCCAUCAGCGCUCAACUUGGACGGCUGCCAGCAACCAUGGUGGACGUGCCAGUGGUGGUGCGGCAUGGCCAGAGCAGGCCGCUGGCUGAUAUUCCAACACAUCAUGUUAGCGCACCAGGGAAAUAACAAGUUUUCCAUAAAAAUGUUAUCCAUACUAGGUAAGACCAGAGCUACAGGACAAUACCUUUUCUUGAGAUAGCUACUACAUGUACUGACUCCUCCACCACUGUAGCGUCCCUGUAUCCUCCUUGCGCGGGCAACCACUAGGGAUCAAGCGAUGCUGCCACUCGACACAUUUGAACCACCUGUAGGAAUCAAAGUGGACGGAAGGGAUUCAAACACAUCAAUGGACACAUGUACUACACAACAAUGUGCACCUGUACUGUCCAUGACAACAAACUAACAAAAAUUAAAUUUUCGUUCAACUAUUGCAGACUUUUGAGUAGUAGACGCACAACCUAACAAGGCAAUGUACAAUUUCAUGCGAAAAUAACAACCAAGUUAAUGUACAGUAACAUCAUAAGUUCAAAAAUAAAAAUAAAAAGAGUUUUGUACUGUCUUUUGCUAUAACAACUAAGUUAAUGUAUGCCAUGGGGCUGGACUAGGACAUCGUAUAUCCUUGAGUGGUGGAGAGGGAGAUCAUGUCACUACCAAAUCUAUCAGGCUACUAGAAAUUCAUGGAACGUAAGUAAAACCAAACUAAUUGAUUACAAGCACUCCUAUGAACAGAACUUAAAUAGAAAUUGAGGUGAACUUAAAUAGUGAAAACAAGAGUGUUGCUGCUAGCUUUCCAAUCCUAGAACAACUUCUAGGAACGUGUGGGAAACAUGCAACAUGCCUGAACUUGGUGUGCAUUGUAGUUGAACUUGCUACCCAUCCACACUAGUACCAGCGGCACAAGAUCGAAGUAUUUAAGCAAUACCUGAUGUCAUCAAGAAAACAAGUGACUAAAACAUUUAGCAAUAAAAGCGAUGGUACAGAAAAAUUGAACUGUUGUUUUUCUGUGAUUUCGACAAACCUCCAGCAUGUUUUUUUGAACUGAUUUAUUUCUAUCAUUGUACUGUUUCUUUAGGCUUUUCGAAUGAGGUGAAAGCCUCUGGUCUAUUUGAACAUUUACUGAACAUUCAAAAAUGUUUUGAACUGAUGUGAAUCCUUUCACCGAACUACUAAUACAAAUUUUCAUGAACCUACCCAUUUAUACGAACAAGUUCUAUUUCUGCUAGGCAUUUGUGCACUUUUGUUCUAAGCAAAGAGAGAAAGAAAACAACCUGGAAAUGUUUCCUGCCGCCGCACGUCGACGGGGUGUGGAUAUGGAUGAACUGACUGACCCAUUUUUCUUGUACUGAAGCUUAUUUCCAGAAAUUUAAGACAAUGCAAAUAUUAUCUACAAUAUGGACAUUUAGUAUAGUCUGAACUAAACUCUUUGGCACUUUUGAACUGAGGUAAUAGCGGUGAACCUGUGACGAAGAAUAGAACUCAAAAAGAAUUUUUUUGUAGGUGGAAUAAGACGUUGGAGAUCGGGUGGACUGGCUACACCUCCUCCUCUGGACUGAUUGCUCUGGUGAAGUGGAGCUGAUGGAUGCGGAGAUCAUGAGCACGCCGCGCUUUGGCGACUGCAGGGAAUCCCAGCGACUACCAAGUCAUCCCCGAGAAGCUUGUAGAGGCGGGGCAGUUGGUCACAGGUCAUCCCAUGUAAGUUCAACUACCAGGCGUGGUGGCAGAGAGAGGCUCUUGGCGGUGAUGUCCGGGAGGUGCCUCGCGGCUGUGAGGUGGAUGGCUGCGGGCGUGGGCUAGGCGGCGACAGUGAGAGAGUGCCGUUGAUGCACGCACAUGACUACCAUCAGCGCUCAACUUGGACGGCUGCCA
rnacentral:lncRNA from 1 species